UUUCCCUUCGGGGCUGGUAUACAGGUGGUGCAUGGUUGUCGUCAGCUCGUGUCGUGAGAUGUUGGGUUAAGUCCCGCAACGAGCGCAACCCUCGUUCUAUGUUGCCAGCACGUAAUGGUGGGGACUCAUAGGAGACUGCCGGGGUCAACUCGGAGGAAGGUGGGGAUGACGUCAAAUCAUCAUGCCCCUUAUGUCUUGGGCUUCACGCAUGCUACAAUGGCCGGUACAAAGGGUUGCGAUACUGUGAGGUUGAGCUAAUCCCAAAAAGCCGGUCUCAGUUCGGAUUGGGGUCUGCAACUCGACCCCAUGAAGUCGGAGUCGCUAGUAAUCGCAGAUCAGCAACGCUGCGGUGAAUACGUUCCCGGGCCUUGUACACACCGCCCGUCAAGUCACGAAAGUUGGUAACACCCGAAGCCGAUGGCCUAACCCCUUGUGGGAGGGAGUCGUCGAAG
rnacentral:rRNA from 1 species